CCCCCCCCCCCCCCCCCCCCCCGUUGCAGGCGUAUCAACCAAACAACUUGCGUUGAUGUUAGAUUUAAAUGAAAUGGAAACAUUGUGAACUGGGGGUGUGGUUUAUUUCAUUAACAAGCGGUCAAAAUCCGAGACAGAAAACAUAAAGCAUUAAAAAAUGAUUUUGGGUGACUUUUUUUUAAUACAAAGUUUACAAGCAUGACUAGGAAAUAUUUCUACUUUCAGCUCAUACAGGACAGCGCAGAGUGUUUGUUGUGAUUGUUGCAGCCAAAAAUGCUUAUUUUGUGGCGGCUUGUUUCUAAAUUUACGAUGCAGCUUGUGGAGGUUUUUGUGCUUUUUUUUUUAUUAUUAUUUUUUUUUUGCGGAAGACUACUUUGAAUUGCAAUCGCGCAGUGAUGUUUGUUGGUAAAGGAGCCCCUUUCAGCUGUUCUCGUGUUCGACACGCAUGAAUCGAAGAGGGCUUUGGCAGAAUGAGCGUUGCGAUGACGUCACAUGAUGCGUCUUGGCCCAAAUCUGUGGAAAAAUCUGCGGUAGUUUUGACAGAUUUGCACAUGUCUCCGAAUAUUACGCAGUUUGCUGGAUUUUGCGUUAAAUUCUGCGAUCGCAAGAUCCCAUAAUCCGUGAGGGACUGUAGGGGCUGAAGUACUUUGGUAUAAAAUCCUAAAACAUUGGUCAUCAACUGGCAGAGCAGGAGCCGGAUGCUGACCCAGCAUCCUAUUUCAGCGGAUCAGACCAUGUACUGUACACGAAAAAAAUACCAAUCAACACUUUAAAAAAAAAUAAUAAUAAUAAAAAUAAAAAAAAAAGUUUUUAAAAAAUGACCGCAGCGACUCUAAAUCUGUCUGUAACAGAUCCCCUAUAGAUGCCAAUCAUGUGUUUAUGCAAAUUAUUCAUCUGAAGGCAACCACUCAUAGCAGAGUCUAGCUGCAGGACAAAAUCUAGCUUAACAAUGAAAACAGAUUGUAUAAACACAAAUGGACAAAUAAGUAUGUGUCAAAUUCAAAACAGACACGUGCAGUCACGUUAUGUGUUUAUCUAAAAAAAAAAAUUAAGCAAGGAAUUUCAUGUAGCUGGACUUGUAGCUCCAAAACAACACAUUACGAGCUAGUGUUGGACAGACGAGCAAAAUGACACGACAGGAGUUUGUUAGCCUGUCAAUCAAAUAAGCCACACCCCUAGGUCAUUGUGAAAAGAGGAGAUGCAUCUUUUAAGGGGAGAACUUUCCUUUUGUUUAGCCUCAGAAAUGAUCACAAUAAUGGAUAACGAUUCAGAUCAUGGGUUUCCAUCACAUUUUUAAUUUCAGUGUUGCAGCAUGACUGUUUCACAGAUUUAUUUCGUUUUGUUUUUAAUUAUUAUUAUUUAGACUUUAAACACAUUCAAGUAAUAUAACAUGUAUAUAUUGAAAUCGUGUAAGUGUUUUUGACAUUUAUUUAUUUAUUUAAUUGUGUAUCAGCUUUCUUUAUGAAAUUCGGCCAUUUGGUCAACCAAGAAAAAAAAUAAUUGCUUUGGAAGAUACACUAGAAAAAGAACUUUGUUUAGACUCAAUGAUGGAUAAUAAACUUAUCCAUGAUAAUAAAGAUCACGGGGGGGGCGGUUUCUUUUUGUUUUUAAUAAAAGUCCUUAGUAAUAUAUAGUGAAAAAGCUUUUAUUUGAGAUGCAAAUUAUUUUUAAGUUCGUUGUUUUUGAUAUUAUUUCUAUAAAUUUCUCUUAUAAAAAUCAGCCUUUUUGGUCAACCAAAACUGCAAAAAAAAAAAAAAAAAAAAAAAAUGAUAGCAAGCGCAUGAACACAGUCUAAUGUUUCCCAUUAAUUUGAUUAGACUCCAAUUAUUAUUAUUAUUGCUAUAGCGAUUAUUAUACAAUGAAUACAAGACAAUGACACCUGUUUCUAGACGUGUUCACUCAUUUCAAUCUUCUUCUAUUGGCAGAGAAUUUUGCUUCUUUUUCGAAAUAAACACCUGAAAUAAGCCAAAUGAUCUGCCAGUAGAAUAAGACAAUCAGUUUGAAAUGAGUAAAAAAUAUCUCAAAUAUGCUUAAAUCUCUUACAUUUAACAAUCAAAUAAAGAAAAAGAAAAUAUUAGUUGAAUUGACCUUAUGUUACUAAGAUAUCAUAUGGGGGGGGGGUUGCAGUGAAGAAAAUCGUUAGCUGGGGACAGCCCUAAUAUAGCUACAUAUCAUGUAAAUAUGUGUCACAAAUCUGUGUGUGGUAAAAUCAGACAUGUAUCUAGUAAAAACAAAUCCAGACGGGGUGGAAUUGAACUAAAAGUUAAGGGCUUAAAUCACUUAUUUCGGUUAUUCCGAGACCAGUGAGUCUCCUUGACCGUAAACACUUCUGAGUGUCUCGCUCUGUCUCCUGCAGCCUUUACAAUAUGUUGCUAUUGCAGGAGAAGUGUGUGGUCUGUGUGUGUCUGUGUGUGUCUGUUGUGUGUGUCUGUGUGUGUCUGUGUGUGUGUCUGUGUGUGUCUGUGUGUGUCUGUGUGUGUCUGUGUGUCUGUGUCUGUGGUGCGUCACUUUCUCCUAAGUGCCAUCAGAAACGUCGUGCAACUUCCUCCAUGUUGUUUUUUUCCUUUUCCCCUGAAUGUCUACAUGUUGGUGAUGUCACAGGAUUUAUCAUUUAUCAGUGUAUGCCAUUUUGUCAUUUCAUGUUAAAGGUGUUUGAGAUUCUUGGCAGUUUCUGUACAUUUCUGUGUUGUUGAAGAUGUUAGAUGUUAUCGAUGCUCUAAGGUACCCAUAUACACCGGCAGAGGCCUGAGAUGAAGACCGUUUCUUUCUGUGCAGCACAGUAUUUUAUACUGAGAGAAAAAUGGAACUCUUUGUGGCCGUCUUUGUUUCUGUUAUGGUAUUUGUGUGUGUGUGUGUGUGUCUCACUGUCUGUGUUUAUAUGAGGUCAUGCCUGUGGUGUUUUAAAGACAAUGUGAAAUGUUAAAAAGCAUUUUUCUCCCAUUCCGAUGUAAUCCGAUUGGACGGUGAGACAAGACCUGAUCUCAUUGGUUAAUUCCAGAUUAUGAGAGAGAAAUUUUGUCUUUUAAGGCCAGGAACCACACCCUGUUAGGCCCUUGAAUGAUUCGUUUUAUAAGUCUUUCCUGUUGAAACAUGAAACUGUUGUAUUACAAUUUCAAAAAUGUAUUAAA
ensembl:lncRNA